rnacentral:snoRNA from 1 species
AUACCAUACUUUAUGAUGAUAUUCUUUACGAACUUUUAGACGUUAGACUUCUGAAGGAGAUUAGACCCUCCUAUGGAAGAGAAACUCGUUAAACUUAUCUGAGUAGGUAU